rnacentral:tRNA from 1 species
CUCCGCGUUGGAGGGGCUGGGGUUCUCGGCGCCGAGCACCUCGUCGGUGGACGAGUCGGCCUCGUUCGCUCCUGUGUUCGAAUCACUCAUGGAGCC